rnacentral:rRNA from 1 species
GACGAACGCUGGCGGCGUGCCUAAUACAUGCAAGUCGAACGGAAAGGCCCUGCUUUUGUUGGGUGCUCGAUUGGCUAACGGUUGCGUAACACUUAAUUAACCUGCCCUUGCCUUUCGGAUAACUUCGGGUAACUGUUGCUAAUACCGGAUAGUAGCUCCUGCUGCUUGGUGGGGGUUGGAAAUUUUCGGCGGUUUGGUAUUGACUCGCGGCUUAUUAGCCUGUUGGUGUGGUAGCUGCUUACAAAGGCAUCGACUGGUAGCCGGCCUGAGAGGGUGACCGGCCACAGUGGGACUGAGAUACGGCCAAGACGCAUACGGGAGGAAGCGGUGGGGAAUAUUGCGAAAAGGGCGGAAGGAUGAAGCAGCAACGCCGGGUGGGGGAUGACGGCUUUAGGGUUGUAAACCGCGUGCGACUGUGACGAAGCGUGAGUGACGGUAAUGGGUAAAGAAGCAACGGCUAACUACGUG